rnacentral:rRNA from 1 species
UACAGAGGUGGCAAGCGUUGUUCGGAAUUACUGGGCGUAAAGGGCGCGUAGGCGGCCUCUUUAGUCAGACGUGAAAUCCCCCGGCUUAACCUGGGAACUGCGUCUGAUACUGGGAGGCUAGAGUUCGGGAGAGGGAUGUAGAAUUCCAGGUGUAGCAGUGAAAUGCGUAGAUAUGUGGAGGAACACCAAUGGCGAAGGCAGCCCCCUGGGCCAACACUGACGCUCAGGCACGAAAGCGUGGGGAGCAAACAGG